CUCCACCCCCACCAUUGCCAAGUUCGUUUCCUCCUAUGUACACAAAUACACAAAUUCGACGCAUUGGAUGAAUCGCCUCACUAGAACCAAUCAUCGGCUUUCAUAAUUCUAACAUUGGAUCUUCUUCCAAGCUUCCCACAACGUAGAAAUUGGUGAUUCAUCCCUGAUCAGUCAUCGUCUCCCUCUCGUGAUUUCAGGGCUAACCAAAUUGUUCUUAGUGCCGCUGAGCUCCGUCACAUUUCUGAUCUUCAAUUCAAUUCAUCCAGUGCCAGAAUUUGUUGAGGUCAUCUCUGAUUCUGGCAUCCUCAAAAAGUGAUGCAAUGUGUGUUCCAGGAAGAGGUUUUUGACCUCUUCUAACACUUUCUUUUGCAAAAAGAUCAACACAAAGAGCGGUGCGACAAAUGCAUGCUAAAGCAUGCAUGCGAUCUGAUUCUGCUCUUAGGUUUCUCACCAUGACGGAUUCUGAAAUGCUAGAGACCUAUUCAACUGCCCUUUUAGUUAGAAUGUUUGGCUGGGUAUGCUCAAGAUGCUUGAAAGUUACCAGAAUUGCACAUGUAGUUCAAUGAUCUGCCAAUGAAGCCGAGCAACGUCAUCGCUAAUUUGGUUGGGAUCUAUGAUUUAGUUGCCAUGGAAAAGUGGUGUUUACUGUUAGCUCAUCUUUCAGGGGUGAAGUACCAACCCUUUUGGUUCUUAAUGUCAUGAUGGUCUUACUGUUUUUGACACCGGUUACGCAGAAUACGUCAUGUGGAUAUGAAGCAUGACUUUGCCUUUGUGGAUUUCAGUGACCCACGGGAUGCUGAUAUUGCACGAUACAACUUAAAUGGUUGGGAUGUGGAUGGAAGUUGUAUUAUGGUGGAACAUGCAAAAGGGGUAUGAUUUUUCUAAUCUCAUUAUUAGAUACCUAAUGUUUGAUAUGUUUUUGUGCUUUAGUUUAUAUCUCUUACACAAGCCUUCAUCCACAAGAAUCCAGAAGAGUUAAAACCUUUUCUUUUAUACAGUUUUGGUAGAGAAACCAUUUAGUCCUUCAUAAAUUAAGAGUCUGAUCAGUUAUUAUUUCUUUGAGAUUGGUAUUGAGUGUUAUAGAGGCAGCCAUAUAGAGGAAUGGGAUUUGUUCUUUGGUUAUGCUAAAUAGUAACAUGGGCUUGAAGUUUGAUUUUGACUGCUUGUGUCUUACUAUAUUUGAAGUGGAUAUAAUUAGCAGGUUCAAAGUAUGUUUUGUACAAGCUUAUGGCAAGUUGCUGGAAUGAUAGCAGGGCAAGUUGAAUGUACUUUUUGCUUUACUGAAAUUAAAGCAGGUCAAAUGUGGGAUAUAAAUAGCAGGCGACAAGCUUAUGGCUUAUUAAAAGUUGAUUGUGGACAUAAAUAGCAGCUUGAAUGUUUUUUCGUACAAGUCUAUGGUCUGUUAAAACAAGAGAAUGAUAGCAGGUAGUGUUUGUUUUUUGUACAAGUUUAGGUUGAUGGAAUGAUAGUAGUUUGAUUCCCCAUUUUCCCCAAACUUCUCUCUCACGAGCAAAUGAACCAAUUAAGAAAGGUUUUGUUAUU